rnacentral:lncRNA from 1 species
CAUGCAUUGAGGAAGACGGGGCUGGACUCUGCCAAGAACAAAAUGUUUUCCUAGGUGGCUCCCAGAUGAUUCCCAUCACUGGGGAUUGGAACGGGCAAGGAGGGGAUGGAGCCACGCUGCCUGCAAGCUGUGUGGCCUGCCCGGCUGGGAGGUGUUCGCGUCGGAUUGCAGAGUUGGGCUCACCAAAGCCCACUUCCUGAGGUGGAUGCCCCUGGGCAGCCCACCCUUCUCAUUGGAGGAGCUGGAUGUCCUUCAGAGCUUGGUUUCCUGGUCAUUUCUGGGUCACUGAUGGCCACCUAUUGGGAAGCACCUGAAUCACCCACACCAGCCUUGUACAUGGAUUCUGCAGCACAAACAGAGACAUCUGAGUCGGUGUUUGUGAUACACCAGAACACAGUGGCCACA